GAGCGCGUAGCUCAGUGGUUUAGAGCGGCGAACUUUUAAUUCGUAGGUCCUGGGUUCGAUCCCCAGCGCGCUCACCA
rnacentral:tRNA from 1 species